rnacentral:rRNA from 1 species
CCUACGGGUGGCAGCAGUGGGGAAUAUUGCACAAUGGGGGAAACCCUGAUGCAGCGACGCCGCGUGAGUGAAGAAGUAUUUCGGUAUGUAAAGCUCUAUCAGCAGGGAAGAAAUAAAGUCCUUCGGACUUUGGACGGUACCUGACGAAGAAGCCCCGGCUAACUACGUGCCAGCAGCCGCGGUAAGACGGAGGGGGCAAGCGUUAUCCGGAUUGAAUGGGUGGAAAGGGAGCGUAGACGGCAGCGCAAGUCUGGAGUGAAAUCCCAUGGCUUAACCAUGGAACUGCUUUGGAGACUGUGCAGCUGGAGUGCAGGAGAGGUAAGCGGAAUUCCUAGGGUAGCGGUGAAAUGCGUAGAUAUUAGGAGGAACACCAGUGGCGAAGGCGGCUUACUGGACUGUAACUGACGUUGAGGCUCGAAAGCGUGGGGAGCAAACAGGAUUAGAUACCCGGGUAGUC